rnacentral:rRNA from 1 species
AACGAACGCUGGCGGCGUGCCUAACACAUGCAAGUCGCACGAGAAAGUCCUUCGGGAUGAGUAGAGUGGCGCACGGGUGAGUAAUGCAUGGGAACGUGCCUCUAAGAGGGGGAUAACUACGGGAAACUGUAGCUAAUACCGCAUAAUAUCGAGAGACUAAAGGUGCCUCUGCUUGCAAGCUACUACUUAGAGAUCGGCCCAUGUCCCAUUAGCUAGUUGGCGGGGUAACAGCCCACCAAGGCUACGAUGGGUAGCUGGUCUGAGAGGAUGAUCAGCCACACUGGAACUGAGACACGGUCCAGACUCCUACGGGAGGCAGCAGUGGGGAAUUUUGCACAAUGGGGGAAACCCUGAUGUAGCAACGCCGCGUGAGUGAUGAAGGCCUUUGGGCUGUAAAGCUCUUUCGGUUGGGAAGAAGGGUGGUAUGGCUAAUAUCCAUAUUAUUUGACGGUACCAAAAGAAGAAGCACCUGCUAACUUCGUGCCAGCCGCCGCCGUAA